rnacentral:sRNA from 1 species
GCUUGGUCCCCAGAGGGAACUGCAUACCCAUCCAUGCCGCACGCUGGACACUGGGGAGGAGCUGUGCUGUGCAGCCCCUGGCCUGGCUUCCUCUCUUCCCUCACCACCUUCUUCUGACCUUCCCCCAGGGAUGAGUGACAGCGUCAAGGACAAAUUUUCCAUCGCGUUUUCCAUUGUGGGCAUGUUCGCCUCCCAUGCGGUGGGGAGCCUCAGCGUGUUCUUCUGUGCGGAGAUCACCCCGACGGUGAUAAGACGCAGACCGAGGCUUCGGGAGGUGAAGCUGGUGGGCGAGGGGCCAGGAUUCUAGCCCAGGCUCAUGGGCUCCGGCACUCCUGCUCCCAGCCACUGCACUCACACCUUUGUGGCAGCAAAAGUCUGUUCUGUAGCUCACUUUGGGCUGGUUCUUUGUAUGUGGGUUUACUCAAGGCUUGAAGGCUAAUGGCUGAUGCCCCGGUCUUGACAAUCAUCUAAUGGAAUAAACAUUAACGAAAACCCUGUACCGGAAGGCAUCUCCUUCCUCGAGAAGUGCACAGACGGCGCCCUACCCAGGUGUGGCGGGCUGGGGCUGGUGCUGGCCAGCGCAGGCUUCGGCAUGCUGACGGCACC